rnacentral:rRNA from 1 species
GAUGAACGCUGGCGGCGUGCCUAAUACAUGCAAGUCGAGCGAACGGACGAGAAGCUUGCUUCUCUGAUGUUAGCGGCGGACGGGUGAGUAACACGUGGAAAACCUACCUAUCAGACUGGGAUAACUUCGGGAAACCGGAGCUAAUACCGGAUAAUAUUUUGAACCGCAUGGUUCAAAAGUGAAAGACGGUCUUGCUGGCACUUAUAGAUGGAUCCGCGCUGCAUUGGCUAGUUGGUAAGGUAAAGGCUUACCAAGGCAACGAUGCAUAGCCGACCUGAGAGGGUGAUCGGCCACACUGGAACUUAGCCACGGACCAGACUCCUACGGGAGGCAGCAGUAGGGAAUCUUCCGCAAUGGGCGAAAGCCUGACGGAGCAACGCCGCGUGAGUGAUGAAGGUCUUCGGAUCGUAAAACUCUGUUAUUAGUGAAGAACAUAUGUGUAAGUAACUGUGCACAUCUUGACGGUACCUAAUCAGAAAGCCACGGCUAACUACGUG